rnacentral:rRNA from 1 species
CAAGGAAUUUUCCACAAUGGGCGCAAGCCUGAUGGAGCAACGCCGCGUGGGGGAAGACGCUUUUCGGAGUGUAAACCCCUUUUCGAGAGGACGAAGCCAAUGACGGUACUCUCGGAAUAAGGACCGGCUAACUACGUGCCAGCAGCCGCGGUAAGACGUAGGGUCCGAGCGUUGUCCGGAGUUACUGGGCGUAAAGCGCGCGCAGGCGGUUUGGUACGUCGGGUGUGAAAGCCCCCCGCUCAACGGGGGAGGGUCAUUCGAAACGGCUGAACUGGAGGCAGGGAGAGGUCGGUGGAAUUCCCGGUGUAGUGGUGAAAUGCGUAGAUAUCGGGAGGAACACCAGUGGCGAAGGCGGCCGACUGGACCUGUACUGACGCUGAGGCGCGAAGGCGUGGGGAGCGAACGG